UACGUAGGGUGCGAGCGUUGUCCGGAAUUAUUGGGCGUAAAGAGCUCGUAGGCGGUCUGUUGCGUCGGCUGUGAAAACUCGGGGCUCAACCCCGAGCCUGCAGCCGAUACGGGCAGACUAGAGUUCGGCAGGGGAGACUGGAAUUCCUGGUGUAGCGGUGAAAUGCGCAGAUAUCAGGAGGAACACCGGUGGCGAAGGCGGGUCUCUGGGCCGAUACUGACGCUGAGGAGCGAAAGCGUGGGGAGCGAACAGG
rnacentral:rRNA from 1 species